rnacentral:rRNA from 1 species
GACGAACGCUGGCGGCGUGCCUAAUACAUGCAAGUCGAGCGAAUGACGAGAAGCUUGCUUCUCUGAUUUAGCGGCGGACGGGUGAGUAACACGUGGGCAACCUGCCCUACAGAUCGGGAUAACUCAGGGAAACCUGGGCUAAUACCGGAUAAUCCUUCGAAUCACAUGUUUUGAAGUUGAAAGGCGCUUCGGCGUCACUGUAGGAUGGGCCCGCGGUGCAUUAGCUAGUUGGUGGGGUAACGGCCUACCAAGGCAACGAUGCAUAGCCGACCUGAGAGUGUGAUCAGCCAGAUUGGGACUGAGACACGGCCCAAACUCCUACGGGAGGCAGCAGUAGGGAAUCUUCCACAAUGGACGAAAGUCUGAUGGAGCAACGCCGCGUGAGUGAUGAAGGUUUUCGGAUCGUAAAACUCUGUUGUAAGGGAAGAACAAGUACGUUAGGAAAUGAACGUACCUUGACGGUACCUUAUUAGAAGGCCACGGCUAACUACGUGCCAGCCGCCGCAGUAA